CUCAUUUGAAAAUAUUUGAAACGAAAAUGAUUAUUUUGGUGCAUGAUUGGAGUUGAACCUAACAUGGAAGGCAUGGAUAGACAUUUAUUUGGGAUCGAUGUUGAGGAAGUCACAAAGAGGACCGCUGUGGAAGGAAGUUGUUGGAGCUCACGAUCCUAACUCGGAAUGUAUUCAGUAAGACCGCAAUUGGACAUCUUUGCUGAAGCUCGUGGUUCUGUCGUGAUGUGGAGCAUGUGUUGAAGACAAUUGGAGCACAAAGUGAUGAUGAUGUCGCAUUUUUGGAGCUAAAAUGGCAGUAAAAGCAAGGUCAAAGGUCUAUUCGGGGUCGAGGAUGAUGAUGUCGCAAAGCGCUGAAAGAAUGACGUCAUUGGUGAAGUGUUGGAAAUCAAAGAGAAACGGCUCACGAUGCUGUCACGCAAAGUAUUGCGUGGUAGGGUCGUGGUAAUAAUUGUUUUCUGUGGCUCACGGCCUUAUCGCGGAAAGCAUUCCGUGAUAAAGCUGUGGUUGAAGAAGUAUUCUGUGGCUCACGACCUUACCGCGUAAAGCAUUCUGUGGUAAGCCCGUGAUAAGAUUUUUAUUCUGUGGCUCACGACCUUGUCGCAGAAAGCAUUCUGUGGUAAGCCCGUGACAAGAUUUUCAUUUUGUGGCUCACAACCUUACCGCGAAAAGCAUUCCGUGGUAAGACCGCGGUAAGGCUCUAAGCUUCGUAAAAAGGCCGUUUUGAGCCCGUUUCCUUUCAAAUCAAGUGGAGAUGUGCUCUCUCAAGGGGCACGACUUUGAAGACUUAAAAAGCAUUGUAAAAAGAAGGAUUAUUGAGAGACUAAAGAGCUUUUUGGAAGAGGAGAAGACGGAAGUCAAGGAGGAGGAAGGAGAUUGUCUUGAAGAUCUUCGAUUUUGGUUGUAUUUUUCUGUUCUUUCUUCUCUCCAACAUCAUGAACUUUGUUUUUAUUAUUCUUUCAUUAGUUGAAACUAUGUUAGGCUAAGUACUUUGUUGCUAGGGUGAUU